ACUAAGUUUCAACAACGGAUCUCUUGGCUCUCGCAUCGAUGAAGAACGCAGCGAAAUGCGAUAAGUAAUGUGAAUUGCAGAAUUCGGUGAAUCAUCGAAUCUUUGAACGCACCUUGCGCUCCUUGGUAUUCCUUGGAGCAUGCCUGUUUGAGUAUCAUGAAAU
rnacentral:rRNA from 1 species